rnacentral:rRNA from 1 species
AAUUGAAGAGUUUGAUCAUGGCUCAGAUUGAACGCUGGCGGCAGGCCUAACACAUGCAAGUCGAACGGUAGCACAGAGAGCUUGCUCUCGGGUGACGAGUGGCGGACGGGUGAGUAAUGUCUGGGAAACUGCCCGAUGGAGGGGGGUAACUACUGGAAACGGUAGCUAAUACCGCAUAACGUCGCAAGACCAAAGUGGGGGACCUUCGGGCCUCACACCAUCGGAUGUGCCCAGAUGGGAUUAGCUAGUAGGUGGGGUAACGGCUCACC